CUCCUCCCCAUGUCCACGGUGCCAUCUGGGUGUCCCCAUGGGGUGGUGGCACCUCGUCCCCUCACCCACGGUGCCACCUGGAUGUCCCCAUGGCUUGGUGGCACCUUGUCCUCCUGUCCAUGUCUCCUCCAGCUCGGUGUCACCUCGUCCCCUCACCCAUGGUGCCACCUGGGUGUCCCCAAGGGGUGGUGGCACCUCGUCCCCAUGUCCACAGCUCUGUCCUCCUGUCCAUGUCUCCUCCAGCUCGGUGUCACCUCGUCCCCUCACCCAUGGUGCCACCUGGGUGUCCCCAAGGGGUGGUGGCACCUCGUCCCCAUGUCCACAGCUCAGUCCAUGUCUCCUCCAGCUCGGUGUCACCUUGUCCCCUUGCCCACGGUGCCAUCUGGAUGUCCCCAUGGCUUGGUGGCACCUCGUCCCCAUGUCUCCUCCAGCUUGGUGGCACCUCAUCCCCAUGGCCCUGGCACAGACCGAGUGUCCCCAAGGUUUGGUGGCACCUUGUCCCCAUGUCCACGGUGCCACCUGGGUGUCCCCAAGGCUUGGUGGCACCUCAUCCCAUGUCUCCUCCAGCUCGGUGGCACCUCGUCCCCAUGGCCCUGGCACAGACCGAGUGUCCCCAAGGUUUGGUGGCACCUUGUCCCCAUGUCCACGGUGCCACCUGGGUGGCUCAGUCCCCAUGUCCCACACCAGGUGGGAGUUUUGGCUGAAGCUCUUGCCUCCUCCAUCUCGGUGGCACCUCGUCCCCAUGGCCCUGGCACAGACCUUGUGUCCCCAAGGCUUGGUGUCACCUCCUCCCCUCACCCAUGGUGCCAUCUGGAUGUCCCCUAGGCUUGGUGGCACCUCGUCCCCAUGUCCACAGCUCAGUCCAUGUCUCCAUCUUGGUGGCACCUUGUCCCCAUGUCCCUGGCACAGACCGAGUGUCCCCAAGGCUUGGUGGCACCUUGUCCCCAUGUCCCCAGCUCAGUCCAUGUCUCCUCCAGCUUGGUGUCACCUCGUCCCCUUGCCCGUGAUGCCACCUGGGUGUCCCCAUGGCUUGGUGGCACCUCAUCCUUGUGGUCCAGUCCGUCUGUCCCCCAUCCUGGUGUCACCUUGUCCCCAUGUCCCUGGCACAGUCCUUGUGUCCCCAAGGCUUGGUGGCACCUUGUCCCCAUGUCCAUGGCUCAGUCCCCAUGUCCUCCAGCUCCAUGCCACCUCCUCCCCAUGGCCAUAGCUCAGUCCCUGUGUCCCCCACCUUGGUGCCACCUCCUCCCUGUGGCCAUAGCUCAGUCCCCAUGUCCCUCACCUUGGUGCCACCUUGUCCCCUUGCCCAUGGCUCGGUCCGUGGUCCUCCAGCUCGGUGCCACUUCCUCCCUGUGGCCAUAGCUCAGUCCCCAUGUCCUCCAGCUUGGUGCCACCUCCUCCCCAUGGCCAUAGCUCAGUCCCCAUGUCCUCCAGCUUGGUGCCACCUCCUCCCCGUGGCCAUAGCUCAGUCCCCAUGUCCUCCAGCUUGGUGUCUCCUCCUCCCCAUGGCCAUAGCUCAGUCCCCAUGUCCUCCAGCUUGGUGUCUCCUCCUCCCCAUGGCCAUAGCUCAGUCCCCAUGUCCUCCAGCUCGGUGCCACCACGUCCCCAUGGGUCAGUCCGCGCGUGUCCCCCCUCUCAGGGGACAAAGAGGGGCUUGUGGACGCGCUUGUGGCGGUUGAGCGUGGCGCUGCGGGCGAAGCUCUCCCCACACUCAACACAGAUGAAAGGCUCUGGUGGCCCCCCAUCUCGGGGUUGCCCCCCGGCCCCGUGGACCCGUUGGUGCUUCAGCAGGUUGCCGCUCUGGGCGAAGCCCCGGCCGCAAUGGGCGCAGCGGUGGGGCCGAGCCCCCGAGUGGGUGCGUUGGUGUUUGAUGAGGUUCUUGCUCUGGGUGAAGCUCUUCCCGCACUCGGGGUCACCUCCUCCCUGUCCCCGGGGCUCGGGCCCUGUCCCCCCCACUUUGGUGGCACCUCAUCCCCACGUCCAUGGCUCGGUCCCUGUGUCCCUCAGCUCUGUCUCACCUUGUCCCUGUCCCCGUGGCUCCGUCCCCAUGUCCUCCAGCUUGGUGCCACCUCCUCCCCAUGGCCAUACCUCAGUCCCCAUGUCCUCCAGCUUGGUGCCACCUCAUCCCCAUGGCCAUAGCUCAGUCCCCAUGUCCUCCAGCUUGGUGCCACCUCCUCCCCUUGCCCGUGGCUUGGUCCGAGGUCCUCCAG
rnacentral:lncRNA from 1 species